AACGAACGCUGGCAGCAUGCCUAACACAUGCAAGUCGAACGAGACCUUCGGGUCUAGUGGCGCACGGGUGCGUAACGCGUGGGAACCUGCCCUUAGGUUCGGAAUAACUCCCCGAAAGGGGUGCUAAUACUGGAUAAUGUCUUCGGACCAAAGAUUUAUCGCCUUUGGAUGGGCCCGCGUUGGAUUAGCUAGUUGGUAGGGUAAAAGCCUACCAAGGCGACGAUCCAUAGCUGGUCUGAGAGGAUGAUCAGCCACACUGGGACUGAGACACGGCCCAGACUCCUACGGGAGGCAGCAGUGGGGAAUAUUGGACAAUGGGCGAAAGCCUGAUCCAGCAAUGCCGCGUGAGUGAUGAAGGCCUUAGGGUUGUAAAGCUCUUUUACCCGGGAUGAUAAUGACAGUACCGGGAGAAUAAGCUCCGGCUAACUCCGUG
rnacentral:rRNA from 1 species